rnacentral:lncRNA from 1 species
CCCAGUGUACAGCAGAAUGAGCCUCCUGUCACCAGCCCAGAGCUCUCAGACAGAAUUGAGUUCCUGUACAGUAGGACUUUCCACUCAUGUCUGUGGUCUAGGAGGAGAUUGGGUUGGGCAAACACCAGGCACGAUGGAGCAACCAUUAACCCUGGAGUUGUGAAGACAGGACCACAAGCUGAGAGAGGGCAGCAAUGGAAACCCAGCCAAACUAUUAAUGGAAGGCUGGGUCCCAUUCUUUAUUAUCCUUCUGUGGUCUCGUCACCAGCAGGGUGAGCCAAAGCCGAGGGCAAGAACACGCUGGGUGACCUUCCACACCCCAAAUGCAAGAUCAAGUGCUGUGGAGAAGGAGGUAAGCUGUGGCUCUUCAUUAAAGCAAAUAUCAUUAGACAUAUGUUCAAGAUAACAGAGUGUUUUGACCCCAGCAAGCAUUUGAACUGCAGUGAAAAUUCAUUUUCCUUCUCUGAGGGUACAGGAAGCAGAGAAUUUUUCCAGGACUAAAGCCACCAUUAUGAAUACGUAUUCCUCAAUAAUGAAACCUGUAUUAAUAAUUGAAUUAGUAAUUCAACAAAUAUUU